CAGUAGCCACGGUAAAACAGAGGGUGCAAGCGUUAAUCGGAUUUACUGGGCGUAAAGGGCGCGUAGGUGGUUAUGUAAGUGAGAUGUGAAAUCCCCGGGCUCAACCUGGGAACUGCAUCUUAUACUGCGUAGCUGGAGUGCAGUAGAGGGUAGUGGAAUUUCCGGUGUAGCGGUGAAAUGCGUAGAUAUCGGAAGGAACACCUGUGGCGAAAGCGGCUCACUGGACCAUAACUGACGCUGAGGCACGAAAGCUAGGGGAGCAAACAGGAUUAGAUACCCCAGUAGUCCCUGUCUCUUAUAC
rnacentral:rRNA from 1 species